rnacentral:lncRNA from 1 species
GAAUAAUUUAAUUGUAUACAGAGUCUCUCUGUGCUAGGCCAUCACAUUAUACAUGGAUGCAAAAAAAAAAAAAAAGAGUUUACUUCCCUUUCUUCAUAGUUAUCAAUCAUCUAUAUCAAGACAUACAACUUUCAGAAAUAAUGUUACAGAGCAACACUGUCAAGCUCUGCUGCUAGCAGAUGAAUGCUGCACUUCUGACACAGCUGAAGCUGCUGCAGGUGAGAAGUAAUCCUGUGGCACUGGACAGUUGCAAGGCUGAGGAUCUACCAACAAAAUUAUUUCAUCUUUUCACAUUUCUGUGAAACCUCGUGAUGGAUUUGGAGCUGCCUGAAUCUGAGUUCCAUCCUGAGCUGGAACUCUAUUCCUCAUAUUGUACCUCCCAAGUUCUUUGCUGUGACCUGAGCAGGUUUUGUCCAAAGAUAUUUUAAUCAUUAUCACUCGUCACUCCAAAAUGGUCAGACACAGUUCAGAGCUGUAUUCUUCCUGUGAUUUUUGUUGGUCAACAGAGGGCCAGAGACAGAUCUGUACAUCACUUCAGUCCAACAAACCCUGUUGUGAGAGGCUUCCCUGGCAUUUAAGUGAGAUCCAUCACUGUAACAUGCACCUCCCAAGUGUUAUCACUGAAUUGUUUGCCAGCGUAUGUCUGAAUCAAAGAGAAGGGGCAGAAAGUGUCCUGGCUGAUGUGCAACCUUUUAAUGAUUUUCUUCUGCAAUCACUCACAGAAUGCCAUUUGAGGAGCUGUGAAAGAAUGACUUUUAAAACCCAAGCCAUUCUAUGAUUCUGUGAUUGUAAAACAAGACCUCAGACCUUCAUGAUCAUUUUCUUUACAUCAAAAGCUCAUUCUGAAUCUCAAGUGUAUUAAUUGCUCAAUCUUGUUAAUUCUUCAGUCCAAAAAAAAAAAAAAAAAAAAAAAAAAAAGAAUUAAUCCAAAACAAAAAGAACCCAAAUCUUUGAAAAAUAACCUAACUAGUCAGUGAUCCCAGCUAGUUGGAUUAGUGAUCAGGCUUGAUCACAGGUACUCAAAAUAUUCUCUUCUGUGACUGCUGUGACUAAUGUAUCAGGGCAGAAAUGAGUACUGCCUUGAAUUACUUUCCCACCAAAUUAAAGGCAUUGAGUUGCCAAUAUAUCUCAGGCUUUUCAUUAAAUGCCGCUGAAAUCUGCAUCUUAAAAUCGUGGAGUUUUCUUUUUUUUUUUUUUUUUUUUUCUUGCUCUGAGGUUCAUUUGAAAAGUGAUUUCAGUUGUUUCUGUCAACAUCAAAAACAUUCAGCAAAUUAUACUUACAUCUCGUUUCAAAAAUAGUUUAGUAAGAAUGGAGCUGAGUUUUUUUUCUUCUUUUCUUUUUAUGUCAUUGCUUAUAUUUUGUAAUUGUACAGGACAUUUGUCUAUGAGAUUUGCUAUUUUACUGCCAACACAACUGUUUACUAGGUAUAUGUAUUUGCUUACAGUUUCAACUGUUUGUCAGCACACAUACACUCAAAAGUAUAAGUAUUGUACAAGUAUUUUAU